rnacentral:lncRNA from 1 species
GGCGGUUCCAGCUAAUCUAUCUGGCGAAGACAAAAUUACAACAGAGCUGGAGCGAUCAAAGCAGACACACUCGUCCAUCUUCUCACGACAAGGAAAUUCCUGCCAGUUUUUCCAGAGCCUGCAAGGAGAAGACAAACGCACUUCACCCGUCCCAGAGGAGGAGGAUUCCCUUUGUUUAACCUCCUCCUCCCACAGUCGGCCUUCAGCUCUGAAAUGGGGGAGGGGGACAGGGGAUGGAAAGACCCUGGGCGGGGAAGGGCGGUUAUAACAGAACCCCGGGUCCAACUCUGC